rnacentral:rRNA from 1 species
AUUGAACGCUGGCGGCGUGCCUAACACAUGCAAGUGGAGCGGUAACAGGUGUAGCAAUACAUGCUGACGAGCGGCGAACGGGUGAGUAAUGCUUCGGAAUCUACCCAAUGGUGGGGAAUAACCAGCCGAAAGGUUGGCUAAUACCGCAUACGUCCUACGGGAGAAAGCAGGGGAUCGUAAGACCUUGCGCCAAUGGAUGAGCCGAAGUCGGAUUAGCUAGUUGGUAGGGUAACGGCCUACCAAGGCGACGAUCCGUAGCUGAUCUGAGAGGAUGAUCAGCCACACUGGGACUGAGACACGGCCCAGACUCCUACGGGAGGCAGCAGUGGGGAAUCUUGGACAAUGGGCGCAAGCCUGAUCCAGCCAUGCCGCGUGAGUGAAGAAGGCCUUAGGGUUGU